AUUGAACGCCGGCGGCAGGCUUAACACAUGCAAGUCGAGCGGAGAUGAGGUGCUUGCACCUUAUCUUAGCGGCGGACGGGUGAGUAAUGCUUAGGAAUCUGCCUAUUAGUGGGGGACAACAUUCCGAAAGGAAUGCUAAUACCGCAUACGCCCUACGGGGGAAAGCAGGGGAUCUUCGGACCUUGCGCUAAUAGCUGAGUCUAAGUCGGAUUAGCUAGUUGGUGGGGUAAAGGCCUACCAAGGCGACGAUCUGUAGCGGGUCUGAGAGGAUGAUCCGCCACACUGGGACUGAGACACGGCCCAGACUCCUACGGGAGGCAGCAGUGGGGAAUAUUGGACAAUGGGCGGAAGCCUGAUCCAGCCAUGCCGCGUGUGUGAAGAAGGCCUUUUGGUUGUAAAGCACUUUAAGCGAGGAGGAGGCUACCUGGAUUAAUACUCUAGGAUAGUGGACGUUACUCGCAGAAUAAGCACCGGCUAACUCUGUGCCAGCAGCCGCAGUAACAC
rnacentral:rRNA from 1 species